AGAGUUUGAUCCUGGCUCAGAUUGAACGCUGGCGGCAGGCCUAACACAUGCAAGUCGAGCGGCAGCGGGAAAGUAGCUUGCUACUUUUGCCGGCGAGCGGCGGACGGGUGAGUAAUGCCUGGAAAUUGCCCAGUCGAGGGGGAUAACAGUUGGAAACGACUGCUAAUACCGCAUACGCCCUACGGGGGAAAGCAGGGGACCUUCGGGCCUUGCGCGAUUGGAUAUGCCCAGGUGGGAUUAGCUUGUUGGUGAGGUAAUGGCUCACCAAGGCGACGAUCCCUAGCUGGUCUGAGAGGAUGAUCAGCCACACUGGAACUGAGACACGGUCCAGACUCCUACGGGAGGCAGCAGUGGGGAAUAUUGCACAAUGGGGGAAACCCUGAUGCAGCCAUGCCGCGUGUGUGAAGAAGGCCUUCGGGUUGUAAAGCACUUUCAACGAGGAGGAAAGGUUGGUAGCUAAUAACUGCCAACUGUGACGUUACUCGCAGAAGAAGCACCGGCUAACUCCGUGCCAGCAGCCGCGGUAAUACGGAGGGUGCAAGCGUUGAUCGGAAUUACUGGGCGUAAAGCGCACGCAGGCGGUUGGAUAAGUUAGAUGUGAAAGCCCCGGGCUCAACCUGGG
rnacentral:rRNA from 1 species